AUGCCGGCUGAGAUCUUUUGGCACCGCACCCAGUGUGCCGAUCACCACCGGGACCACCUGCACUGGUUUCUGUCAGAGUCUUUGAAGUUCCAUCUUGAGGUCCCGAUAACGGCUGAGUUUUUCCUGUUGUUUUUCGUCAAUGCGACUGUCACCUGGGAUGGCAACAUCAAUGAUCCAAACCUUUUUCUUUUCCACAACUGUGAUGUCUGGUGUGUUGUGUUGGACUUCCGAAUCCAGACUGACAAAGUUCUGGAACACAACACACCAGACAUCACAGUUGUGGAAAAGAAAAAGGUUUGGAUCAUUGAUGUUGCCAUCCCAGGUGACAGUCGCAUUGACGAAAAACAACAGGAAAAACUCAGCCGCUAUCAGGACCUCAAGAUCAAACUUCAAAGUCUCUGGCAGAAACCAGUGCAGGUGGUCCCUGUGGUGAUGGGCACACUGGGUGCCAUGCCAAAAGAUCUAAGCCGGCAUUUGGAAACAAUAGACAUUGACAAAAUUACGAUCUGUCAACUGCAAAAGGCCACCCUACUGGGAUCUGCACGCAUCAUCCAAAAAUACAUCACACAGUUCUAAACGCUUGGGAAGUGUUCGACUUGUAAUUUUGUGAUAUGACAUCCAGCAUGUCUAUCUUGUUUGCUGUGUCAUACAAUAAAAUAAUAAUAAUAAUACUUUAUUUUUCUAUCCCGCCUCCAUCUCCCCGAAUGGACUCGGGGCGGCUAACAUGGGGCCAAGCCCGGAUAAAACAACAAACCAAAAUAAAAUAACAUCAGAAAAUACAAGCACAGAAAUUAAAUUAACAUUCUAAACAUAAUACAAAUAUAAAAAAGAUAAUCACAAUAAAAACAUGGAUUUGUCACCCAAGUAAAGGGGAUAAAAUGAACUGGGUAAAGUGCAACAAGUGGAUGUUGUAAACAAGGUAGUUGAUUAAAUACUAUCAUCAAUAGGAGAGCAACUUGGGGUGGGGUAAACCCUGUGACUAUAAUAAACUGAUAGGGCAAGAUAAAGUGCAACAGAUGCAGAAAUGGUUGUAGAUACAAAAUCUAUCGUGGGGAUGGGGAAUUACUCUACAAAAGCCCGUUGGAAGAGCCAAGUUUUAGGCACCCCUAGAGAUAUUGAGCCCAAUGUUGGGUGAAAAACAGCUUCCCAAACUGUUGAAAUUUGCCCAGCCAGAUGUACUUCCUGUAACUGAAUCCUCCCAACUUGAAAAUGUAGGAGGUAUUAUAGAAUCAGGCCUAUUGUGUGUUUUGGUGCAAAAUGUUAUUAGCAAUGAGAUUUUGAUGGGGCACAUAUACGUUCACUUCCCCUUCUCUGACACACAAACCCAAAUGCCAAAGCCCUUGGGGGUGAAAGGGCAGUCUUUUCUGCUAGCUGAUGGAGGGUACAGUAGCCCUGUGAGUGUCUGCUCUGGUUCAGUGACUGAUGGGGGAACAGGGAGGCUGUGAUCAUUUCAUGAUGGGUAAUUAACACUGGGAGUCUUCCUGCCAAGCCCAGCACUCCUGCCUUUCAACAGCAAAACAAGGCUGAACUUGAAUGUACAUUUCCAUGUGUUGAGUCAGAGAGCUUGGAGAGGCCCUUGAGCCUGGAGGGCUUUUCUCUCUCCACUUCACAAACAGAUGUGGGGGAAUGAAUGACAGGAAUGUGUCAAGAGAGACUUACUCAUGUGCUUGAGUUGAUUGGCAAUACAGGUGUUAUUUGCCCAGAUAGUUGGAUGUUGGUGGACAAAUUCUGGAGGAUGGAUACAGGUCAUCAGAGUAUCAGUUAAGGUUACAGUGGGAUGGAAUUACACUGUCCUACACACCCACCACCCUUGGACUGAUGGCCUUCCUGGGCUUGUACUAAUUGGCUAUAUAUGCAGUAGAAAUGCAGGUUUCAUUAUCUCUCCAGAAUGAUAGAACUAAAUCUUUGGUAUUCCAUUGAGCACCAUGAGUGGCUCUCAUUUUCAAGUGUGGACAAAGCAGAUGCUAAAAUUGCUCUUCAUCACCUUCUAGCUAAGAAACAUUUCCAGCAGCUUCAGGUUGUUUGGAAGGGGACUUUAUUUUGGAGGGGGAAAGUUCAUCAAUAAACAAUUGCUAAAGGAAUAGUAAAGCUGAGUAGUUGGGAGUUAUUCCUAGGCAGAAAUAGGAAAAUGGGGAGAGCUAUGCAUAGCUCAGGCCAGUGGUAGCUGGAGGCUUCCACCUUGGUGGGGUGAUUGAUCUGUCUUGAGUUUUCAUAACUCGAUUGAACUCUACAGGUUCAAUACCCAAGGUAUUGAACUUGUCUCAUAAACACAUCCAGAACCUUGGAUAGCUACUUCAGAGCUGUCUGUGUCUCCUCUUUUGGAUCCCUGUUGGGGAAAGACAAGAGUCCUCUGCUCAGUCUCCAUGCCACUUCCUGCUCAGUUAGUUCAUCAUUUGUAAAGUCUCAAUCAUUAUAAAGAAACAACACUCUCUGGAGGGAUAUCUCUAUAUGAUGGCCUGGUAUCCUAUUUCAGAGGGGACAGAGGUUUAUUUGAAAGUGUCUAGUAUGAGUCCAGUUUGAAGAUAUUUUUUUAAAAACAGUUAAGGAAUGAGACAAAAAGGUCUCAGGUUGUGCAUCAGCAAUUACCAUUUGGAUAGCAGGCCAAAUAGAGACAUUGGCUAUUUGACCACUGUAUUCCACAUUAAGGGAAGGUGGCACUGGAUAACUAUUUAAAGUGAAGUCAUUUCUGCAUUUGCACAAAUACAUGAAAAUUAAUAUAUACAGAUCUAUCUUCUUUUAUUCUCUUUUUAAAGAAAUGCAUACUCUCCCUGCCUCCCCCUGCAACAGUGACCAAAACCUCAAAACUAAACCUACAAUGCACAAUGUAUAGCAGGAAACGUGCAUGCAUUUGCUCAACUUCCUUGUGCUAUUAAAACCCAUACCUUGUGAUAUUUUGGAUGGAGGUGCAGGAUUAUUGGCUAUUCUAGUAAACCGUAAAUACAAGACUGAGUGGAGCAAGGAAUUAUAUUAUGAAACAAUUUCAUAAUAAAUCAGACACAGUAAAAUAGAAACUGAAAAAAUGAGGUCAAAAACAAUGACCAGAAUCCACUUAGGCACUUACAAAGGCAUAGCUACUAUACUUAUAUAACUCCACAAUGACUCCCAGUUCUAGUCUCCCAAAUCCACAUUUCUUGGACAGCAGCUGCUGUGACCAACAGUGUUACUUGGGAAGCAAUGGAUUGAUGCCCCCCCCCCCCGUUUCCCCACUACAAAAAAGGAUCUUCUUUGCAACGGGCAGAAAUGGGGUCCCUGUCAUAAUUCCCCCUAGUUCUGGUGAAUGCUCAUGCAAGCGAGUGGGAACAUCAGUCAGUUGCUUCCCAAGUGACAGGAGAACACACCCUCAUUGAUCACAGGGACUGCUUCCUGUGGUAACUGGGGACUUUCAUGUUCUCUAUCUGUCCCUCAAAAUAGGGAAUACAUAAGGAUUGUGGAAACCACACAAUUAGGACCAUAAUGCUAUGUUGCAAAUUUGCAAGUGGCUAAUAAAAACAAUAAAAUCCAUUAAAAUCCAAUUAAAAACAGAGCAAUCAAAGGAAUCAAUGAUGACAAAAAAGAACAGGAUAAUGCCUGGACAGUACCCAAUAGUAGGAGGCUGCUUAAGAACAAAGCCAGAACAAAGACGGUUGAAGGUUGUUUGUAUUACAAUAUCUUUUUCCUCACUAAAUGAUGUUAGAGUUUCAACUUCAGAAAUGUCUGAAAGUGAAUUUGAAACAGCCCCCAAAGAAAGCCUUUAAGAUAAUGUACAGAAUGAAAUGCAUUAGGUAAUUUAUUAAUAAAUCAUUCAUCCGCUGAGCACCUUGAGAUGCAUCUCCAGUUUUUUGCUGAUUAUAUUGAGUACUCCCCAGUUUGUGUUUUCUUGGUAUCUAAUUGGCAACCACAGGAAGUAUAUGUGCAUUGUCAAACCCCCAAUAAAUUACUGCAGUUUGCAUAUCACCUUAAAAUUGGCCUAAGUAUAGUCCCACAUAUAGAGCACAUUACAACUAUUUGUGUCUGUUCUCUGAUGUUAUCUUGAUGUUUCCAGCCACAAAGACAUGUCCUAGGGAUCUCAGGGCCCAGAGAGAUGGGUGGCUCCAACAUCAUUGGAACAGUGAAACUAUUCUGAGUUUGGACACAAAAUCUAAAAGAGCUCUCCAAGGUGCUGAAUCUAUUCUUACAUCAUAUCUCACAACCGCUGAGGAUGCCUGCCAUAGAUGUGGGCGAAAUGUCAGGAGAGAAUACUUCUGGAACAUGGCUAUACAGCCUGGAAAACAUACAACAACCCUAUUCUUACAUCACUUCUUAAAAGCUCAGACUAAAAGACUAAUAAACUAUAGAACCACCCACCUCCUCUGCCCUGGACCACUGAGAAAAACCAGGCAAGCAUGCAUAUAUUGUAAAAUAUGUUAGUUUUAAAACAUUAUAAGCAUUCUUAUAAUGCCAUCUUUACAAGUAUCAGGGCAGUAUACAGUAAAUAUGGCAAUAUACUGGGGAUGGAGAAAUCAGAAUAGGAUUUUCUUGGCAAGGUUUAUACAGAGGUGGUUUGGUUGCUUUGAUU
rnacentral:lncRNA from 1 species